rnacentral:tRNA from 1 species
GCCUUCGUGGUGUAAUGGUCAGCACACUCGGCGCGUAUUCGAGAGGUCCGAGGUUCGAGUCCCAGCGAAGGCA